rnacentral:rRNA from 1 species
CCUACGGGAGGCAGCAGUGAGGAAUAUUGGUCAAUGGACGAGAGUCUGAACCAGCCAAGUAGCGUGAAGGAUGACUGCCCUAUGGGUUGUAAACUUCUUUUAUAUGGGAAUAAAAUGUUACACGUGUGGGAUUUUGUAUGUACAAUAUGAAUAAGGAUCGGCUAACUCCGUGCCAGCAGCCGCGGUAAUACGGAGGAUCCGAGCGUUAUCCGGAUUUAUUGGGUUUAAAGGGAGCGUAGGUGGAUUGUUAAGUCAGUUGUGAAAGUUUGCGGCUCAACCGUAAAAUUGCAGUUGAUACUGGCAGUCUUGAGUACAGUAGAGGUGGGCGGAAUUCGUGGUGUAGCGGUGAAAUGCUUAGAUAUCACGAAGAACUCCGAUUGCGAAGGCAGUUCACUGGACUGCAACUGACACUGAGGCUCGAAAGUGUGGGUAUCAAACAGGAUUAGAUACCCGUGUAGUC